UACGUAGGGUGCGAGCGUUGUCCGGAAUUAUUGGGCGUAAAGGGCUCGUAGGCGGUUUGUCGCGUCGGGAGUGAAAUCCACUGGCUUAACUGGUGGCUUGCUUUCGAUACGGGCAGACUGGAGGUAUGCAGGGGAGAACGGAAUUCCUGGUGUAGCGGUGAAAUGCGUAGAUAUCAGGAGGAACACCGGUGGCGAAGGCGCACAUCUGGCCCGAUACUGACGCUGAGGCGCGAAAGCUAGGGGAGCAAACGGG
rnacentral:rRNA from 1 species